AGAGUUUGAUCAUGGCUCAGGAUGAACGCUGGCGGCGUGCUCUAUACACAUGCAAGUCGAGCGAUCUUCUUCAGAAGAGAGCGGCGGACGGGUGAGUAAUCGCGUGGGUAACCUGCCUCAUACACAUGGAUAACAUACCGAAAGGUAUGCUAAUACAAGAUAAUAUAAGAGAUUCGCAUGGAUUUCUUAUCAAAGCUCCGGCGGUAUGAGAUGGGCCCGCGUCUGAUUAGCUAGUUGGUAAGGUAACGGCUUACCAAGGCGACGAUCAGUAGCCGACCUGAGAGGGUGAUCGGCCACAUUGGAACUGAGACACGGUCCAAACUCCUACGGGAGGCAGCAGUGGGGAAUAUUGCACAAUGGGCGAAAGCCUGAUGCAGCAACGCCGCGUGAGCGAUGAAGGCCUUCGGGUCGUAAAGCUCUGUCCUCAAGGAAGAUAAUGACGGUACUUGAGGAGGAAGCCCCGGCUAACUACGUGCCAGCAGCCGCGGUAAUACGUAGGGGGCUAGCGUUAUCCGGAUUUACUGGGCGUAAAGGGUGCGUAGGUGGUUUCUUAAGUCAGGAGUGAAAGGCUACGGCUCAACCGUAGUAAGCUCUUGAAACUGGGAAACUUGAGUGCAGGAGAGGAAAGUGGAAUUCCUAGUGUAGCGGUGAAAUGCGUAGAUAUUAGGAGGAACACCAGUAGCGAAGGCGGCUUUCUGGACUGUAACUGACACUGAGGCACGAAAGCGUGGGGAGCAAACAGGAUUAGAUACCCUGGUAGUCCACGCCGUAAACGAUGAGUA
rnacentral:rRNA from 1 species